rnacentral:rRNA from 1 species
UACAGGGGGUGCAAACGUUGCUCGGAAUCAUUGGGCGUAAAGCGCACGUAGGCGGUCUGUUAUGUCGGAUGUGAAAGCCCUCGGCUCAACUGAGGAAGUGCAUCCGAAACUGGCAGGCUAGAGUACUAAAGAGGGUCGCGGAAUUCCCGGUGUAGAGGUGAAAUUCGUAGAUAUUCGGAAGAACACCAGUGGCGAAGGCGACUUACUGGACACAUAUUGACGCUGAGGUGCGAAAGCGUGGGGAGCAAACAGG